CCUACGGGUGGCAGCAGUGGGGAAUAUUGGGCAAUGGGCGCAAGCCUGACCCAGCAACGCCGCGUGAGCGAUGAAGGUCUUCGGAUUGUAAAGCUCUGUCGCAGGGGACGAAGUAUGACGGUACCCUGUAAGAAAGCCCCGGCAAACUACGUGCCAGCAGCCGCGGUAAUACGUAGGGGGCUAGCGUUGUCCGGAAUUACUGGGCGUAAAGGGAGUGUAGACGGCUUGUCAAGUUAAGUGUGAAAGCCUGCGGCUUAACCGUAGAAUUGCACUUAAAACUGACUCGCUAGAGUGCAGGAGAGGUGAGUGGAAUUCCUAGUGUAGCGGUGAAAUGCUUAGAUAUCACGAAGAACCCCGAUUGCGAAGGCAGCUUACUAAACUGUGACUGACAUUGAUGCUCGAAAGUGUGGGUAUCAAACAGGAUUAGAUACCCGAGUAGUC
rnacentral:rRNA from 1 species